rnacentral:rRNA from 1 species
AGUGGGGAAUAUUGCACAAUGGGCGCAAGCCUGAUGCAGCCAUGCCGCGUGUAUGAAGAAGGCCUUCGGGUUGUAAAGUACUUUCAGCGGGGAGGAAGGUGUUGUGGUUAAUAACCGCAGCAAUUGACGUUACCCGCAGAAGAAGCACCGGCUAACUCCGUGCCAGCAGCCGCGGUAAUACGGAGGGUGCAAGCGUUAAUCGGAAUUACUGGGCGUAAAGCGCACGCAGGCGGUCUGUCAAGUCGGAUGUGAAAUCCCCGGGCUCAACCUGGGAACUGCAUUCGAAACUGGCAGGCUUGAGUCUUGUAGAGGGGGGUAGAAUUCCAGGUGUAGCGGUGAAAUGCGUAGAGAUCUGGAGGAAUACCGGUGGCGAAGGCGGCCCCCUGGACAAAGACUGACGCUCAGGUGCGAAAGCGUGGGGAGCAAACAGG